AUUGAACGCUGGCGGCAGGCUUAACACAUGCAAGUCGAGCGGGGGAAGGUAGCUUGCUACCGGACCUAGCGGCGGACGGGUGAGUAAUGCUUAGGAAUCUGCCUAUUAGUGGGGGACAACAUCUCGAAAGGGAUGCUAAUACCGCAUACGUCCUACGGGAGAAAGCAGGGGAUCUUCGGACCUUGCGCUAAUAGAUGAGCCUAAGUCAGAUUAGCUAGUUGGUUGGGUAAAGGCCUACCAAGGCGACGAUCUGUAGCGGGUCUGAGAGGAUGAGCCGGCAAACUGGGACUGAGACACGGGCCAGAAUCCUACGGGAGGCAGCAGUGGGGAAUAUUGGACAAUGGGGGGAACCCUGAUCUAGCCAUGCCGCGUGUGUGAAGAAGGCCUUAUGGUUGUAAAGCACUUUAAGCGAGGAGGAGGCUACUUUAGUUAAUACCUAGAGAUAGUGGACGUUACUCGCAGAAUAAGCACCGGCUAACUCUGUGCCAGCCGCCGCCGUAA
rnacentral:rRNA from 1 species